CCUACGGGAGGCAGCAGUGGGGAAUAUUGGACAAUGGGCGAAAGCCUGAUCCAGCCAUGCCGCGUGUGUGAAGAAGGCCUUCGGGUUGUAAAGCACUUUCAGUGGGGAAGAAAGCCUUGGGGCUAAUACCCUCGAGGAAGGACAUCACCCACAGAAGAAGCACCGGCUAACUCCGUGCCAGCAGCCGCGGUAAUACGGAGGGUGCGAGCGUUAAUCGGAAUUACUGGGCGUAAAGCGCGCGUAGGCGGUCUGAUAAGCCGGUUGUGAAAGCCCCGGGCUCAACCUGGGAACGGCAUCCGGAACUGUCAGGCUAGAGUGCAGGAGAGGAAGGUAGAAUUCCCGGUGUAGCGGUGAAAUGCGUAGAGAUCGGGAGGAAUACCAGUGGCGAAGGCGGCCUUCUGGACUGACACUGACGCUGAGGUGCGAAAGCGUGGGUAGCAAACAGGAUUAGAUACCCCGGUAUC
rnacentral:rRNA from 1 species